rnacentral:rRNA from 1 species
CCCUGGGUUAGUCGGGACCUAAGCUGAGGCCGAAAGGCGUAGGUGAUGGACAACAGGUUGAUAUUCCUGUACUACCGAUAACCGUUUGAGAGAAGGGAUGACACAGUAGGAUAAGCUAAGCACACUGUUGGGUAUGUGUGCCCAAGCAUUGAGGCAGUCAAAGUAGGUAAAUCCGCUUUGAUAAUGCUGGGAUGUGAUGGGGAGCGAAAUUUAGUAGCGAAGUAGCUGAUUUCACACUGUCAAGAAAAGUCUCUAUCGAGGUUAAAGGUACCCGUACCGCAAACCGACACAGGUG